GAUGAACGCUGGCGGCGUGCUUAAGACAUGCAAGUCGAACGGAGUGUGUAGCAAUACUCACUGAGUGGCGAAUGGGUGAGUAACACGUAGGUGACCUGCCCUGAAGUGCGGAAUAACAGUCCGAAAGGAUUGCUAAUACCGCAUGUGGUCCCGGGCGUUAGAGAACCGGGUCUAAAGCAGUAAUGCGCUUCAGGAGGGGCC
rnacentral:rRNA from 1 species